CCUUCGGGGAACGAUAACGGCGUCGAGCGGCGGACGGGUGAGUAAUGCCUAGGAAAUUGCCCUGAUGUGGGGGAUAACCAUUGGAAACGAUGGCUAAUACCGCAUGAUGCCUACGGGCCAAAGAGGGGGACCUUCGGGCCUCUCGCGUCAGGAUAUGCCUAGGUGGGAUUAGCUAGUUGGUGAGGUAAGGGCUCACCAAGGCGACGAUCCCUAGCUGGUCUGAGAGGAUGAUCAGCCACACUGGAACUGAGACACGGUCCAGACUCCUACGGGAGGCAGCAGUGGGGAAUAUUGCACAAUGGGCGCAAGCCUGAUGCAGCCAUGCCGCGUGUGUGAAGAAGGCCUUCGGGUUGUAAAGCACUUUCAGUCGUGAGGAAGGUGGUGUAGUUAAUAGCUGCAUUAUUUGACGUUAGCGACAGAAGAAGCACCGGCUAACUCCGUGCCAGCAGCCGCGGUAAUACGGAGGGUGCGAGCGUUAAUCGGAAUUACUGGGCGUAAAGCGCAUGCAGGUGGUUUGUUAAGUCAGAUGUGAAAGCCCGGGGCUCAACCUCGGAAUUGCAUUUGAAACUGGCAGACUAGAGUACUGUAGAGGGGGGUAGAA
rnacentral:rRNA from 1 species